AGUUAAAAAGCUCGUAGUCGGAUUUCAGUAUUAGGCCCUUCUUCCAAUACGGUUGCUAGUGGUCUUUACUUCCUUAACAGAAUCUUUCAUCUCAUUAAUUUGGGGUGUUUGGGGCCUGUUUCUUUUACUUUGAGAAAAUUAGAGUGUUCAAAGCGGGUUUUCGCCUGGAUACUACUCUUGGAAUAAUAAUAUAGGACUUUGGUUCUUUUUUGUUGGUGACUUAGAACCGAAGUAAUGAUUGAUAGGGACAGUUGGGGUCAUUCGUACUAUGAAGCGAGAGGUGAAAUUCAUGGACCUUUGUAUGACGAACUACUGCGAAAGCAUUUGACUAGGAUGUUCCCGUUGAUCAAGAACGAAAGUUGGGGGAUCGAAGACGAUCAGAUACCGUCGUAGUCUCAACCAUAAACUAUGCCAGCUAGGGAUUGGAGGAAGAUCAUUUUACGUUUCCUUCAGCACCUUAUGAGAAAUCAAAGCAUUUGGGUUCCGGGGGGAGUAUGGUCGCAAGGCUGAAACUUAAAGGAAUUGACGGGAGGGCACCACCAGGAGUGGAGCCUGCGGCUUAAUUUGAUUCAACACGGGAAAACUUACCAGGUCCGGACAUGGGAAGGAUUGACAGAUUGAAAGCUCUUUCUUGAUUCUAUGGGGUGGUGGUGCAU
rnacentral:rRNA from 1 species